rnacentral:lncRNA from 1 species
UGUGCAAGGUUAGGACCUGUGCGCACGUCCUGUCGCUCGCAGGCGAACCGUCAACACGUCACUUCAUGCACGGACUGCCACCGCAUACUGUGCGCACGUCGUUCAUGUAGUAGGCCUAUGCCAACAUGCCCUGUGCACGCAGCAACAGGCCUGUGCGCUUACAAGCUAGCUUGCAGCGUGCUGGCCAAGCACUGCCACCUCGAGUAGUGCAUCGUUGUUGCAUUGGCUAGUGCAUUGCCGCCACCGGUGGAGGAAAUUUUCGUCUCUCAUUUUUCAUGCCAAGAAUCUUUUUCU